rnacentral:rRNA from 1 species
CAUGGUGUAGCAAUACACUGAUGGCGACCGGCAAACGGGUGCGGAACACGUACGCAACCUUCCUUUAAGUGGAGAAUAGCCCGGCGAAAGCCGGAUUAAUACUCCGUAACAUUAUGAAGUGGCAUCACUUUAUAAUUAUAGCUCCGGCGCUUAAAGAUGGGCGUGCGUCUGAUUAGGUAGUUGGCGGGGUAACGGCCCACCAAGCCUACGAUCAGUAACUGGUGUGAGAGCACGACCAGUCACACGGGCACUGAGACACGGGCCCGACUCCUACGGGAGGCAGCAGUAAGGAAUAUUGGUCAAUGGACGCAAGUCUGAACCAGCCAUGCCGCGUGAAGGAUGAAGGUCCUCUGGAUUGUAAACUUCUUUUAUUUGGGAAGAAACCCAAGAUUUCUAUUUUGGUUGACGGUACCAGAUGAAUAAGCACCGGCUAACUCCGUGCCAGCAGCCGCGGUAAUACGGAGGGUGCAAGCGUUAUCCGGAUUCACUGGGUUUAAAGGGUGCGUAGGCGGGCAGGUAAGUCCGUGGUGAAAUCUCCAAGCUUAACUUGGAAACUGCCGUGGAUACUAUUUGUCUUGAAUAUAGUGGAGGUGAGCGGAAUAUGUCAUGUAGCGGUGAAAUGCUUAGAUAUGACAUAGAACACCCAUUGCGAAGGCAGCUCGCUACACUAUUAUUGACGCUGAGGCACGAAAGCGUGGGGAUCAAACAGGAUUAGAUACCCUGGUAGUCCACGCCCUAAACGAUGAUUACUCGACAUCAGCGAUACACUGUUGGUGUCUGAGCGAAAGCAUUAAGUAAUCCACCUGGGAAGUACGA